GACGAACGCUGGCGGCGUGCUUAACACAUGCAAGUCGAGCGAGGCCCCUCCUUCGGGAGGGUGUCCUAGCGGCGAACGGGUGAGUAACACGUGGGCAACCUGCCCUCAGCUCUGGGAUAACUCCGGGAAACCGGGGCUAAUACCGGAUACGACCUCCACGGGCAUCUGCGGAGGUGGAAAGUUUUUCGGCUGAGGAUGGGCCCGCGGCCUAUCAGCUAGUUGGUGGGGUAGUGGCCCACCAAGGCGACGACGGGUAGCCGGCCUGAGAGGGCGACCGGCCAAACUGGGACUGAGACACGGCCCAGCCUCCUACGGGAGGCAGCAGUGGGGAAUAUUGCGCAAUGGGCGAAAGCCUGACGCAGCGACGCCGCGUGAGGGACGAAGGCCUUCGGGUUGUAAACCUCUUUCAGCAGGGACGAAGCGAAAGUGACGGUACCUGCAGAAGAAGCACCGGCCAACUACGUG
rnacentral:rRNA from 1 species